rnacentral:rRNA from 1 species
UCUCUCUGAAUCUGCGAACGGCUCCGCAAACCAGUUGUAAACUAUAGCAAGCAUGCCUGGGUUCCCUUCACGGGGAGCUUGGGCGAUACGGAUAACCCUGGUAAUUCUGAGGCUAAUACGAGAACGCAAUCCUUGGCUGACCGGGCAACUGGGAGGCUGAGAGGCGUGCAAGUUGUGUCGCGAGAAAUCGCCGGGAUUGGAUGCACGCCUGGACCGCGCCAAAGACAGAUGAGCGUCCCUGACCCUCACGGGAAGGGGAUGCUUGCCUGAGCGGCUCUUGCAAUGUGUUUCUGACCUAUCAACUAGACGGCAGCGUAAAGGACAUGCUAUGGUUACAACGGGUACAGAGGAUUAGGGUUCGACCCUGGAGAGUGGGCCUGAGAGAUUGAGC